UGGGGGAUAUUGCACAAUGGGCGAAAGCCUGAUGCAGCGACGCCGCGUGGGGGAUGAAGGCCUUCGGGUUGUAAACUUCUUUUGCUCUGAACAAGGCGCACCAUGGGGUGUGUUGAGUGUAGGGGUUGAUUAGCGCCGGCUAACUACGUGCCAGCAGCCGCGGUAAUACGUAGGGCGCGAGCGUUGUCCGGAAUUAUUGGGCGUAAAGGGCUUGUAGGUGGCUGGUUGCGUCUGUCGUGAAAGCUCAUGGCUUAACUGUGGGUUUGCGGUGGGUACGGGCUGGCUUGAGUGCAGUAGGGGAGGCUGGAAUUCCUGGUGUAGCGGUGGAAUGCGCAGAUAUCAGGAGGAAUACCAGUGGCGAAGGCGGGUCUCUGGGCUGUUACUGACACUGAGGAGCGAAAGCAUGGGGAGCGAACAGG
rnacentral:rRNA from 1 species